rnacentral:piRNA from 1 species
UCAAAGCACAGGUCCCUCCAGC